rnacentral:rRNA from 1 species
UACGUAGGGGGCAAGCGUUGUCCGGAUUUAUUGGGCGUAAAGAGCGUGUAGGCGGCCAGGUAGGUCAGCUGUGAAAACUCGAGGCUCAACCUCGAGCUGUCGGCUGAAACCAUCUGGCUAGAGUCCGGAAGAGGAGAAUGGAAUUCCCGGUGUAGCGGUGAAAUGCGCAAAUAUCGGGAAGAACACCCGUGGCGAAGGCGGUUCUCUGGGACGGAUACUGACGCUGAGACGCGAAAGCGUGGGGAGCGAACAGG